rnacentral:rRNA from 1 species
UACGGAGGGUGCAAGCGUUAUCCGGAUUCACUGGGUUUAAAGGGUGCGUAGGAGGGCAGGUAAGUCAGUGGUGAAAUCCUAGAGCUUAACUCUAGAACUGCCGUUGAUACUAUCUGUCUUGAAUAUUGGGGAGGUGAGCGGAAUAUGUCAUGUAGCGGUGAAAUGCUUAGAUAUGACAUAGAACACCAAUUGCGAAGGCAGCUCGCUACACAUAUAUUGACUCUGAGGCACGAAAGCGUGGAGAUCAAACAGG